CGGGUUUGUUACUUGUUGAAUU
rnacentral:miRNA from 1 species